rnacentral:tRNA from 1 species
AGAGUAAUAGCUCAGUGGUAGAGCGCAUGCUUAGCAUGCAUGCAUAAGGUCCUAGGUUCAAUCCUCAGUACCUCCA